UACUCCCUCCGUCCCCAAAAUAAGUUCCUCUUUGGGGACGGCACGGGUUUUAAGAAAAAUGGUAAAGUGUAUUGAUAGUGGAAAAAAAUAUGUUAUAAUUAGUAUUGGGAGUGGUGAAAAGGUGAAAAAAUGUUAUAAUUAGUAUUGAGAGUGGUGAAAAAGUGAAAAGUAAGAAUAAAUAAAGUAUUAUUAGUGGUGGGGUAGUUGUCCAAAAAUAAAAAGAAAGAAAGAUGAACUUAUUUG
rnacentral:lncRNA from 1 species